GGGCGUAUGGUCUAGAGGUAUGAUUCCUGCUUUGGGCUUUGAGCUUCUUGAGCUUCUUGUGCAGGAGGUCCCCGGUUCAAUCCCGGGUGCGCCCC